GAGUUUGAUCCUGGCUCAGGACGAACGCUGGCGGCGUGCCUAAUACAUGCAAGUCGAGCGCAGAGGUAUUUAGCUUGCUAGAUACUGAUGAGCGGCGAACGGGUGAGUAACGCGUGGAUAACCUGCCUUAUAGAGGGGGAUAACUAUUGGAAACGAUAGCUAAUACCGCAUAACAACUUAGUACUCAUGUACUAAGUUUAAAAGUAGCAAUUGCUACGCUGUGAGAUGGAUCCGCGUUGUAUUAGCUAGUUGGUAAGGUAACGGCUUACCAAGGCGAUGAUACAUAGCCGACCUGAGAGGGUGAUCGGCCACACUGGGACUGAGACACGGCCCAGACUCCUACGGGAGGCAGCAGUAGGGAAUCUUCGGCAAUGGACGGAAGUCUGACCGAGCAACGCCGCGUGAGUGAAGAAGGUUUUCGGAUCGUAAAACUCUGUUGUAAGAGAAGAACACUGAGGAGAGUGGAAAGCUCCUUAGUUGACGGUAACUUACUAGAAAGUCACGGCUAACUACGUGCCAGCAGCCGCGGUAAUACGUAGGUGGCAAGCGUUGUCCGGAUUUAUUGGGCGUAAAGCGAGCGCAGGCGGAUCAUUAAGUCUGAUGUAAAAGGCAAUGGCUUAACCAUUGUAAGCAUUGGAAACUGGUGACCUUGAGUGCAGUAGAGGAGAGUGGAAUUCCAUGUGUAGCGGUGAAAUGCGUAGAUAUAUGGAGGAACACCGGUGGCGAAAGCGGCUCUCUGGACUGUAA
rnacentral:rRNA from 1 species